rnacentral:lncRNA from 1 species
CAAGAUGCUAUGAUCCUUGAGGCAAAUGCAAUGGGCAAUGAUAUGAUGCCAUGAGGGAUCUUAGGGUCAAAACUAGGGUCUUACACAAACCAAUCAUACAUACAAGUCAAUUUACAUUACAAAUAUAUUGCAUUACAUCAUUAGAGCUAAAAAAAGAGAAUUAAAAAUAAAUAAAUAAGAGAAAUGUCAAGGUUUAUUUUGCCCACGAGUUCCAGGCUAGCUUGGGCUCAUCGCCUCUACCAUGUCGUUAUCAUGUACCCAUCUUCAUCAUCUACAUAACCUCAACAUGCCAUUGCC